GAGUUAUAUGAUGAUUGAUUUUUGUCGCCCCAGGCUUAAUUUGCAUCUAAAAAUCAGUUGUAAUGUGGUGAUUGACACUUCUAAUCUGAUUC